rnacentral:rRNA from 1 species
UACGUAGGGUGCAAGCGUUGUCCGGAAUUCUUGGGCGUAAAGAGCUCGUAGGCGGUUUGUCGCGUCUGCUGUGAAAACUCGGGGCUUAACUCCGGGCCUGCAGUGGGUACGGGCAGACUAGAGUGCGGUAGGGGAGACUGGAAUUCCUGGUGUAGCGGUGAAAUGCGCAGAUAUCAGGAGGAACACCGGUGGCGAAGGCGGGUCUCUGGGCCGUAACUGACGCUGAGGAGCGAAAGCGUGGGGAGCGAACAGG